rnacentral:lncRNA from 1 species
ACCCAUUGGCUCCACCUCCCUGGAAGCACUGAACACUUGCACACCCCCUGGCAAGGGGAUAAUGGCCUGAAUACACUGAGGAAGAGACACCAAGCAUGCAAACCAAAAAGCAGCCCUCAUGCCAAAAAACACAGUAAGCACUCUCAAGUUACCCAGGGACACUCUGCAUAUCAAUAGCCCUCCAAGACCACAAUAGAUAAUUAUUUCCUUAAAGUCACAAAGUAAGCAAAAUGAAGAAGCACAGGAACCAUUUUUCAGUUAAAAAAAAAAACAAAACAGGAGAAUUCUCUUGAAGGAACCAACAAUCAAACAGACCUCUGCAGUCUAAUAGACACUGAGUUCAGAAGGAGGUAAUGAAAAUACUGAAGGAAUUAAGAACAGCUAUCAGCAGCAACUCAAAUUACUUUAAAAAAGAAACUAUGAGGAGGAACCAAUGAAAAUUAGAAAAUUAAUUGCAGAAAUGAGAUAAGCUGAAGGCAAUGAAAAGCAGAAUGAAUUUUGCUGAGGCAUGAAUAAGUGACAUGGAAGAUAGAAUAAAGGAAAUCAUUCAAUCAGAACAGCAGACAGAAAGCAAAAUGAAAAAAAAAAAAUAAAAGCAAUGUAAGAGAUCUAUGGCAUAAUAUAAAGUGUAUCAAUCUAUGUAUAAUAGGACUCCAGAAGAAGAAAAAGUGAAUUGAAAAAGGAUUUGAAGAAAUUAUGACUGAAAAAUUUUCAAAUUUAAAGAAAUAUACACUUACAAAAAAUAAAGAAGGAAACAGAAAUACAGAUACAAGAAGCACAGAGGGCUCCAAACAAGCUGAACCCAAAGAGACCUACACCAAUAUGUAAUAAAAAUGCAGAAGUUAAAGAUAAGGAGAGGAUUCUAAAGGCAGCAGGAAAAAAAAGUUAGUUAUAAGGGAACCCCCCAUAAGGCUAUUACACUAAUUUCUCUACAGAAAUGCCAGAAGAGAGUGGCAAGAUAUAUUCAAAGUUCUAAAAGGAAAAAAUUUGCAACCUAGAAUACUUUACCCAAUAAGAUGAUCAUUUAAAAUAAGAUAAAGAAUUUCUCAAACAAAAACUAAAAGAAUACACAAUACUAAACCUACUCUAAAAGGAAUGUUAAAUGGUCUCCUCUGAAUACGUAAGAAUUAAGAUACAAGAUGGAGGAUAUCACAAUUGGCAAGUAAUCACUUUAGAAAGCAAGGGUUCAAUUCAAAAAAGAAAAACCCUUUUUGUGAAAGCAAUGGUAAAAACAAGGAACAGCAAAUGGAUAAACAUGAAGAUGUAAAAAGGGACAUCAAAAUCAUAAAAUACAGGCAAGGAGAGUAAGAAAAUCUAGACUCUUUUUAAGAAUGUGAUUCAGGAGUUCCCAUCGUGGCGCAGUGGUUAACGAACCCGACUGGGAACCAUGAGGUUGCGGGUUCGGUCUCUGCCCUUGCUCAUUGGGUUAAGGAUCCGGUGUUGCUGUGAGCUGUGGUGUAGGUUGCAGACGCGGCUCAGAUCCUGCGUUGCUGUGGCUCUGGCGUAGGCCGGUGGCUACGGCUCCAAUUUGACCCCUAGCCUGGGAACCUCCAUAUGCCACCAGAGCGGCCCAAAGAAAUAGCAAAAAGACAAAAAAAAAAAAAAAUGUGAUUCAGGAGGAAAAAAAUCUAUGCAUAUAAGGAUAACUUGAUCCCCUUGCUGUACAGUGGGAAAAAAUAAAUUAAAAAAAAGAAUGUGAUUCAGCCUAUGUGACAAUCACUCUAAAGCAAGCAGAUACAGAAAGGGGUUAACAUAUUUGAAAAACAGGGCAACAACAAAUUAAAAAAAAAACAAAAAAAAAACAAUAGAUUCAUAAAGACCAAAAAGAGGACACAAGCAUAAAAGGAAAUCAUCCAAAAACAAAAAGAAAAAUACCAAAGGAGAAACAUAGAAUCAACUACAAGACAAGGUCUAAAACAGCAAUAUAUAUUUAUCAAUAAUUACUUUAAGUCAAUGAGCUGAAUGCUCCAAUCAAAAGACACAAAAUGGCAGACUGGAUAAAAAAACCACCAGCCUACAAUACGCUGCCUACAAGAGACUCAGCUUUAGACACACAUAAAUUGAAAGUGAGGGGGUAGAAAAAAUAUUUCAUGUGAAUGGAAAGGACAAAAUAAACUUUAAGACAAAGGACAUAAAGAAGGACACUAUUUAAUGAAAAAAGGAUCAAUUCAAGAAGAUAUUAUAAUCGUCAACAUAUAUGCCCCCAAGAUAGGGACACCCAAAAACGUAACAACAGACAUAAAGGGAGAAAUUGAUGGGAAUGCAAUAAUAGUAGGAGACUGUAACACCCCACUCACAUCAAUGGAGAUCUUAUAGACAGAAAAUCAGCACAGCAACAGAGAUCCUGAAUGAUACAAUAGAACAGCUGGAUUCAACUGAUAUUUCCAGGACAUUACAUCAAAAAAAAAAAAAAAAAAGCCAGAAUAUACAUUCUUUUCAAGUGCACCACAAUGGCAUGAAACUAGAUAUCAAACAUAGGAAAAAAAUGAGGAAAAAAUGACAUGGAGACUAAACAUGCUACUUAAAAAACCCAAUGGGCCAAUGGGUCAAUGAGAAAGUCAAAAAGGAAAGUAAAAAAAUACCUUGAGACAAAUGAUAAUGAAAACACAACCAUGAAUAGACUAUGAGAUGUUGCAAAAGCAGUUCUUAGAGGGAAAUUAUAGCAAUACAGGCCUUCCUCAAAAAACAAGAAAAAUCUCAAAUCAACAAUCUAACCUACCAUGUAAAAGAAUUAGAAAAAGAAGAACAAACAACACCUAAGUCAGCAGAAGGGAAGAAAUCAAAGAUCAGAGAGGAAAGAAACAGAAAAAUUUUUUUAAAUAGGAAAAAACCAAUAAAACCAAGAGUUGGAUCUUUGAAAGGGUAAACAAAAUUGACAAAUCUCUAGCCAGACUCACCAAGAAGAGAGAGAACCCGGAGUUCCCAUCAUGGCUCAGUGGUUAACGAAUCUGAGUAGGAAUCAUGAGGUUAUGUGUUUGAUCCCUGGCCUUGCUCAGUGGAUUAAGGAUUUGGCAUUGCUGUGAGCUGUGGUGUAGGUCGCAGAUGAGACUCGGAUCCCGCGUUGCUGUGGCUCUGGCGUAGGCCAGCAGCUACAGCUCCAAUUUGACCCCUAGCCUGGGAACCUCCAUAUGCCAUGGGAGCGGCCCUGGAAAUGGCAAAAAGACCAAAAAAAAAAAAAAUAUAGAGAGAGAGAGAUAGAGAGAGAACCCAAAUAAACAAAGAAAUGAAGUAGAAAUCUCAACUGUUACUGCAGAAACAUAAAAAAACCAUAAGAGAAUCCUAUGGACAAUUAUAUGCCAACAAAUUUGACAACCUAGAAGAAAUGGACAACUGUCUAGAAACAUACAGCCCACCAAAACUGAGUCAGGAAGAAAUAGAUAACUUUUUUUUUUUGUCUUUUUCUUUUUAGGGCCACACCCAUGGCAUGUGGAAGUUCCCAGGAUAGGGACUGAAUCAGAGCUGCAGCUGCUGGCUUACACCACAGCCACAGCCAUAGCCAUGCAGUAUCCCACUAAGCAGGGUCAGGGAUUGAACCUGCAUCUUCGUGGGUAAUAGUUGGGUUUGUUUCUGCUGAGCCAUGCAGGGAACUCCUAGGAAGAAAUAGAUAAUUUCAUUUCUAGUGAUCAGUCUGUUCAAGUUAAGAACAUAACUAACAACAACAACAAAAAAAAAAACAUAAAAACUCCCUACAAACAAAAGUCCAGGACCAUAUGGCUUCACAGGCAGAUACUACCCAGCAUACAAACAAGAACUUAUACCAGUCCUAGAUAUCAAAACCAGUCAAAGAUACUAGCAAAAAAGAAAAUUAUAAGCCAAUAUCUUUGAUGAAUAUAGAUGCAAAUUUUCUCAACAAAACUUUAGGAAACUAAAUUCAACAACACAAAAAGGAUCAUACACCACGACCAAGUGGGAGUCAUCCCAAAUUCACAAGCAUGGUUCAACAUACACAAAUCAAUGUAAUACUCCACAUUAAUAAAAGACAAGUCAAAAACUGCAUCAUCAUCUCAAUAGGUGCAGAAAAAGCAUCUGACAAACUUCAACAUUCUUUUCAUGACAAGAACUGUUACCAAACAGGGUAGAGAGGGAACAUGUCUCAACAUAGUAAUAAAAGUCAUUUAUGACAAACCCACAGCCAAUAUAAUACUUAACAGAGAAAAGGUCAAAGUCUCCUGCUAAAAUGUGGUACAAGACAAGAAGGCCCACUCUUGGCAUUUUUAUUCAACAUAAUACUGGAAGUCUUGGCCACAGCAGUCAGCUAAGAAAUAAAAGGUAUUUCAAUUGGAAGGUUAAAACUGUCACCAUAUGCAGAUGAAAUGAUCCUAUAUAUAGAAAACCCUAAGGACUCCCCAUAAAAACUACCAGAGCUGAUCAAAUUUAGCCAAGUAAUGGCAUACAUGAUUAAUAUUCAGAAAUUGCUUGCAUUUCUGCAUACUAACAAAGAUAUAUUAGAAAAAAUAUUCUAAAAAUACCUUUUAAAACUCCACCAACAAAACCCUAGAAAUAAACCUGACCAAGGAAGUUAAAAACUUAUAUGCUGAGAACCC